rnacentral:rRNA from 1 species
AGAGUUUGAUCAUGGCUCAGAACAACGCUGGCGGCAGGCCUAACACAUGCAAGUCGAACGCGCCGCAAGGUGGGUGGCGCACGGGUGAGUAACACGUGGGAAUGUACCCUUUGGUUCGGAAUAACGUUUGGAAACGAACGCUAAUACCGGAUGAGCCCUGCGGGGGGAAAGAUUUAUCGCCAAAGGAGCAGCCCGCGUCUGAUUAGCUAGUUGGUGGGGUAAAGGCCUACCAAGGCGACGAUCAGUAGCUGGUCUGAGAGGAUGAUCAGCCACACUGGGACUGAGACACGGCCCAGACUCCUACGGGAGGCAGCAGUGGGGGAAUAUUGGACAAUGGGCGCAAGCCUGAUCCAGCCAUGCCGCGUGAGUGAUGAAGGCCUUCGGGUUGUAAAGCUCUUUCGCACGCGACGAUGAUGACGGUAGCGUGAGAAGAAGCCCCGGCUAACUUCGUG